AAGUUAUAAACCGCUGUUGUUAUGGAUAUUAAACCGCUGGAAGCGACGCGCUAAUGCUAGCGGACUGGCGAUGUUGAUGACAUCAUUGAACGGAAGUUUUUUUUUUUUAAUGACAAAAGUUGAAAUUUACAACAUAUAUAACAGUUGUACAAAAGGUUUGACAGUUUCAAUUUGAACAGUGUACAGAAGAGAUAGAAAAAACAAACAACAACAAAAAAAUAAGCAAAAAAUACAAGAAUAUAUAAGUAAUAAAAUAAAAAACAAAGACAUUAUGAAAAAUAAAUUAGGGGUUAACAAAAAGCUGCAAAUCACAUAUAAUAUCUUGGAGUUUCACAGCAUAUUUUUUUCCAUUAGGUUUACAGAUGAAAAGAAUAAGCAGAGUUUUUUAUGAAAUGUAAAACAAGAUGGUUUGGUCUUCUUAAAUAUGCAUUUGUGUAUAUAAAAGUUUCCCAGGAUAAUUAUAACAUCUAAGAUAAAUUCUGUAGUUUUGUUUUCUAAAAUGAACCCAAAAAUGAUAUUCUUAAUAGAAAAAUCUGUUAAGUAUGGAAUUUUAGUAAAAAGUCAAUCAUGUACAUCGUCCCAAAAAGCAUUAGAAUAAGAACAGUCGAAGAAUAAGUGCUCAGUAGUUUCAAUUUCUUCAUUACAAAGUCAUUGAACGGAAAUCACGUCCGAAAUAUUAGACACCAUGGCACAGUUAUGCCGUGUCAGUACCCGAUCCCCUUUCCCUAACCACGCCCUAAACGCGUGCAUGUAUAUUACAUCACUUCCUCUUUGCCGCCAACAUUUGCGACGGUGGAGAGUUUUGGAUUUGAUUUGCGUCACCUGGAUUUGAUUUCCGAUAGUUGGGUGAUCGGGUAGCCGAAACAGAGAUCCGACAACAGUAUAUUUAACAGCUGAUUGCCACAGUCGCUACUAUUCCAUAAACCAUAUUCCAAAAACAUCCAUUCAUCUGUCAGUAACAGAUCACCUCCUUCAACAGAGUCACCACGUUCAAAGGAUGACAUGCAGUUACGAACUGAGAUAUAGAAUAUGUCCUGGACAAAAAACGUCCUCCAGGAGAGCUCAUAGUGAAGGAGGAUGAAAUCUGCUCAACCUGUGAAGACUUUUGGAUCCUGAAUAUGACACAAUGGAUGGGAUCCUCUGAGAAAAAUGUCUACAUUAAUGACCACUACUGCUUUUAUGACCACCUGGAAGGAUCUCCAAGUUGACCUACUGCGCUCCUUGCUGGAAUCCUUCAGGUCAGAGGUCAUGCUGAUGUUUCCACUUAGAGCAGACAGACAGGUCCAGCUGAUCUCUACCUGCUUUGUUACCAGGAGAAUCGUUGACCCUGUCUGGAGAACUGGAGGAGACCUUCAGUUCUUUUCUCAACAGAUGUCAGACAGCUGCUGCAGCAUUUCAUGCUGAUGUCUCCCCGGUGCUUACAGCUUUGGAGGGGCUCUGGUGUUCCAGCAGGAGUCAGUGCUCCCCUCAUCAUCUCAGCUGCCAGAUCGUUGUCUACCUUUGGG